rnacentral:lncRNA from 1 species
UCCAUCAAUGGCGUAUACGGGUUGGAUACGUCGGCUCAUGGGCCGGGCAUAAAGCAUGUGUUGAAGGCCAGCAUGGAUGAUAACAGGCAUGAUUAUUACGCAUUAGGGGAGUAUGACCCGAUGACCGAUACAUGGACACCCGAUGACCCGGAAUUGGAUGUGGGUAUCGGGUUACGGCUUGAUUAUGGAAAGUAUUAUGCUUCAAAGACAUUUUAUGAUCAGGUUAAGAAAAGGAGGAUCCUAUAUGGUUGGAUUUCGGAAGGUG